rnacentral:rRNA from 1 species
AAUAGAUACCCGGGUAGUCCUAGCCGUAAACGAUGAACACUAGAUGUUGGUGGUAUCAACCCCGCCAGUGUCGUAGCUAACGCAUUAAGUGUUCCGCCUGGGGAGUACGGCCGCAAGGCUAAAACUCAAAGGAAUUGACGGGGGGCCCGCACAAGCAGCGGAGCGUGGGGUUUAAUUCGAUGCAACGCGAAGAACCUUACCAGGGCUUGACAUGACCAGGGAUCCGGCGGAAACGUCGGCGCCCCGCAAGGGGCCUGGCCACAGGUGUUGCAUGGCUGUCGUCAGCUCGUGUCGUGAGGUGUUGGGUUAAGUCCCGCAACGAGCGCAACCCCUACUGUGUGUUGUAUCACUCACACGGGACUGCCGAGAGAAACUCGGAGGAAGGUGGGGAUGACGUCAAGUCAGCAUGGCCCUUACGUCCUGGGCUACACCCACGCUACAAUGGCCGGUACAACGGGCUGCGAAACCGCGAGGUGGAGCUAAUCCCUUAAAGCCGGUCUCAGUUCGGAUCGUAGGCUGCACUCGCCUGCGUGAAGCCGGAGUUGCUAC